UCCUUUUUGAGUGCAGACUAGAAGCUUGAUUUUGGCAUUUUACCUGGCAUCUACAUCAUGUUCACCCGUGUAUUGGAUCUGAAAACUGGGACAUUCUACAGUUUGUGGAACUCCUGUAAAUUUUCCUGCAAUUGAUUUACUCACACACUGCCCACACUCACCCCCUGUACACCACAGGUUCAAGUAUUUGACUCUUCCCACCCCACCCACCCCUGCCACCAGCUGCUCUACACCCUCCCACUCACUCUCAGGGCCCCUGAGGCCCCCAGGGAGUCACCACCACACACCACUGUCUGUAUCUGGGGGAAGGUCUGGGUUGUUGGAAACUUUAAUCAAGCAAGGACCGUUAACAGCUGCAGAGGCACCUUAGGAAACAGUGAGCCUCAAGAAGGAAAUACUUGUAGGAUCUCUUGUGAUGACCUUUGAAGACUUUUCUGAAAAUGACCCGUCAUUCCCUGCCGUGGAAAAUAACAGUGAUCGCAGGCAGCCUUCAGCCCACAGAAGGCUUCCUCCUCCAGGCAGGCUCUGACAUAGCUGCUCACCUCACAGAUGCCCCAACAGACUGCAAAGUCCUGGGAACAUGCGUGUCCAUGCACGUACAUGCACACAUGUGCCUCUCUACAGGUACAUUUUUGAAGUGACAGCUUUGCCUCAGUGGCCACUUCCUCUAGGGGUGGCUGGGCGGAGCUAUUGGCAGAGCUCUAGGUGUGUGUCCUGCCACACACCACCAAUCAUCCAAGCUGUUGGCAUGCGGUGAGGACCUUUCUCCCCUUCCUUUUUCCUCCCCACAGCUGUAGGAGAGGGGGUUUCUGCGGGGCGGAUGUCACUUUGCUAGGGGCUAGGUCUUCCCACCCCCACACUACAUCUUGUUCCAGCUCCUUCCUAUCCUGGAUGUAGGCCAUUUUGGGGUUCCUAUUAGGGGUCACAUCCUGGUAAAAGAACAUUAGGGAGCGCCUUUGGGCACCCCUGCUCAGCUGCCCCCUUCUCCCCCAACUGGUUCCCUGUCUCCUCCAUCAACCAGGCCCCCAACACCUAUGAAGGCCUGGCAGUCCCUGGGUCCUCCACCACAAAUGCCCCCUUUUUCCUUGGGGCUGUGUGUGAAGGGACAGCUUUGGGACUUUUUAAAGGAAGAACUUUGCUGUGAAAAUAAGAGAAAAACCAAAACCAAACCAAGAAAAUGUCAAAACCUCUGCUGGUCCAGAAUCUGUGCUCGGCCUCUGGCUCUGCUCCUGCCUUGCCUCUGCCUAGGAAGCUGCAGUCCUUCUUAAGCCCUCUGCAACUCCCAUGCUCACCUGCUCCCUGGCUCCCCAUGAGGAUGCAUGGGGGGCAGUGCUGCCGCAUGCCUUUCCAGAGGUGCUGCAGCCAUGGCUGUUCCUUACCUUCACCCCUGGCCCGGACCUGUUCCUGAACGCCCAGUUACUGGAAACCCCAGGAUGAUGAGGAGUGAGGGAUGCAAACCAGGAACCCCCAGUCUCAUGGGGAGAAUGGAGCCUCACCCUGGAGCUGGGGAGAUCAUCUGAGUCAGUGCAGCUGCAGCUACACAUCAUAAGCCCCAGUGGACAAGGCAGCCAGGAGGAGGGCGGGGCAGAUCAGGGCAGAUAACCAGGAGGACCGAGUUUGGGGUCCAGUAUGGCCCACAUGGGUCUAAGAUGCAUGGAGAGGAAGCACAGGGAGGACAUGGGGACAGGCCCAGUCCCUACCCCUGUGCUCUGGACCUCAGCGUCCCCUCCGUGGCCCCUCUGGCCCUGGCCCAGGGAUGCCUUCUGCUUCAUUGAGCCCAUCUGUUUGAGACUUGCUAACACCUUCCUCUUUUGUGACUGGAAGUCACAGGGCCAGGUGAUAAACCGUGCAGUCACGGAGGGAACACAGAGCCUAGUUGUAAAGGGACAGAGAAAAGAGGAGCAAGGGAGGACGGUGGAUGACAGGGAAGACGAGUUGGGGCAGAGCUGCUCGGGACCAUGGCUGAGGCCAUCACCUAUGCAGAUCUGAGACCCAGGGGCUGAUGACGAUGGGGAACUCACCUAUGAGAAUGUUCAAGUGCCCCCAGUCCCAGGGGGACCCUCAAGCUUGGCUUCUUCUGGACUAGGCGACAAAGCAGCGGUCAAGUCGGAGCAGUCAACUGCGUCCUGGAGCGCCGUGACGUCACUAGCCGUCGGGCGGAUUCUCCCCUGCCGCACAGCCUGCCUGCGAUACUUCCUGCUCGGCCUGCUCCUCACCUGCCUGCUGUUAGGAGUAGCCGUCAUCUGCCUGGGAAUGCGCUGUGAGUAAGGCUGUCCCCACUUCCCACUUACACGGAACGACUUUCGUCCUGACUUUCCCCGCAAAGCUGACCUUCCUCAGCAGGGCUCAUAGUCACUACCACCACAUCCUUAGCUUUGGGUUUGGUUUCCUGCCAGGGCUGUUGUCUUCCUGAAUUGUCCUCACCUAAUCCAGUACCUCCUUACACUUUAGGCAGUCAAAUCUUGUAUUUCAGCCUGUGAUGCAAAAAGUUGCAAGAAGGAGAAAAAGGGCUGAUGCUGCAGUCUCAGGGCACUAGGGCAGGGCUGGAGAAGACAUCCACCAAAUCUCUGUGGCCAAACAGAUCUGCAGGUGUCUCAGCAGCUCCAGCAGAUGAAUAGGGUUCUGGAAGCCACUAACAGCAGCCUGAGGCAGCAGCUCCACCUGAAGAUAAGGCAGCUGGGACAGAGCGCAGAGGAUCUGCAGGGGUCCAGGAGAGAGCUGGCGCAGAGUCAGGAAGCACUAGAGGUGGAACAGAGGGCUCAUCAGGCGGCUGAAGGGCAGCUACAGGCCUGCCAGACAGACAGCGAGAAGACGAAGGAGACCUUGCAAAGUGAGGAGCAACAGAGGAGGGCCUUGGAGCAGAAGCUGAGCAACAUGGAGAACAGACUGAAGCCCUUCUUCACAUGCCGCUCAUCAGACACCUGCUGUCCGACGGGAUGGACAGUGCAUCAGAAAAGCUGCUUUUACAUCUCACCUACUUCGAAAACUUGGCAGGAGAGCCAAAAACAUUGUGAAACUCUGUCUUCCAAGCUGGCCACAUUCAGUGAAAUUUAUCAACAAUCAUAUUACUUCAUCUUAAAUUCGCUGUUGCCAAAUGGUGGUUCAGGGAAUUCAUACUGGACUGGCCUCAGCUCUAACAAGGAUGAGAAGUUUACUGAUGAUACACAAUACAUUAGGGUUUAUGUUCAAAGUUCAAAAUGUACCAAGGUACAAAAAGGUUGGUCACGGUAUUGGACAAUGGAGAAAGAGGCAUGUGGAAGUCCUCUUCCCUUCAUCUGUGAGAUGACAGCUUUCAGAUUUCCAGAUUAGGACAACCCUUUACACUGAACUGACACUCAUGCCAACAAGAAACUGUGCCCCUCCUUCCUAACCUGAGGCCUGCGGGUCCUCAGACCAUGUCCUCCCUGUGUUCCCUCAUUCUGGGCAGUGUCCAGCCACCAGCUGAUCCACACCUGACACUUCCAGCCAGCCUGCUGCCUGCUCCCUCUUCCUGAAACUGGACUGUUCUUGGGAAAAGGGUGAAGCCACCUCUAGAAGGGACUUUGGCCUCCCUGCAAGAACUUCCCAUGGUAGAAUGGGGCGGGGGAGGAGGGCGCACGGGUUGAGUGGAUAGGGGCGGCCCGGAGCCAGCCAGGCAGUUUUAUUGAAAUCUUUUUAAAUAA